AUUGAACGCUGGCGGCAGGCCUAACACAUGCAAGUCGAGCGGAUGAAGGGAGCUUGCUCCUGGAUUCAGCGGCGGACGGGUGAGUAAUGCCUAGGAAUCUGCCUGGUCGUGGGGGAUAACGUCCGGAAACGGGCGCUAAUACCGCAUACGUCCUGAGGGAGAAAGUGGGGGAUCUUCGGACCUCACGCUAUCAGAUGAGCCUAGGUCGGAUUAGCUAGUUGGUGGGGUAAAGGCCUACCAAGGCGACGAUCCGUAACUGGUCUGAGAGGAUGAUCAGUCACACUGGAACUGAGACACGGUCCAGACUCCUACGGGAGGCAGCAGUGGGGAAUAUUGGACAAUGGGCGAAAGCCUGAUCCAGCCAUGCCGCGUGUGUGAAGAAGGUCUUCGGAUUGUAAAGCACUUUAAGUUGGGAGGAAGAGCAGUAAGUUAAUACCUUGCUGUUUUGACGUUACCAACAGAAUAAGCACCGGCUAACUUCGUG
rnacentral:rRNA from 1 species